CCCUUAGAUGUCCUGGGCCGCACGCGCGCUACACUGAUGCAUUCAACGAGUUUUACCUUGGCCGAGAGGCCUGGGCAAUCUUUUAAACCUGCAUCGUGAUAGGGAUAGAUUAUUGCAAUUAUUAAUCUUGAACGAGAAAUUCCUAGUAAACGCAGGUCAUCAAUCUGCAUUGAUUACGUCCCUGCCCUUUGUACACACCGCCCGUCGCGCCUACCGAUUGAAUGGUCCGGUGAAGCCUCGGGAUUGUGGCCAGUUCACUUUAUUGGGAGUUGGCUGCGAGAACUUGUCUAAACCUUAUCAUUUAGAGGAAGGUGAAGUCGUAACA
rnacentral:rRNA from 1 species